rnacentral:rRNA from 1 species
AUACGUAGGGAGUAAGCGUUGUUCGGAAUUACUGGGCGUAAAGGGUGUGUAGGCGGGGACGCAAGUUGGGGGUGAAAUCUACGGGCUCAACCCGUAAACUGCCUCCAAAACUGCGUUUCUUGAGUAUGGGAGAGGAGAUUGGAAUUCCCAGUGUAGGGGUGAAAUCUGUAGAUAUUGGGAAGAACACCAGUGGCGAAGGCGAAUCUCUGGCCUAAUACUGACGCUGAGACACGAAAGCGUGGGGAGC